rnacentral:rRNA from 1 species
CAGUCGCCGCGGUAAUACAGAGGGUGCGAGCGUUAAUCGGAUUUACUGGGCGUAAAGCGUGCGUAGGCGGCUUUUUAAGUCGGAUGUGAAAUCCCUAAGCUUAACUUAGGAAUUGCAUUCGAUACUGGGAAGCUAGAGUAUGGGAGAGGAUGGUAGAAUUCCAGGUGUAGCGGUGAAAUGCGUAGAGAUCUGGAGGAAUACCGAUGGCGAAGGCAGCCAUCUGGCCUAAUACUGACGCUGAGGUACAAAAGCAUGGGGAGCAAACAGGAUUAGAUACCCCCGUAGUCCCUGUCUCUUAUAC